GGGCAGUUAGCUCAGUGGUAGAGCGGCUCGUUUACACCGAGUUGGUCGGGGGUUCAAAUCCCUCACUGCCCA
rnacentral:tRNA from 1 species